AGUGAACGCUGGCGGUAGGCCUAACACAUGCAAGUCGAACGAGUGGCGGACGGGUGAGGAAUAUAUCGGAAUCUACUCUGUCGCGGGGGAUAACGUAGGGAAACUUAGGCUAAUACCGCAAACGAUUGAAUGAGCCGGUAUCGGAUUAGCGAGUUGGGGGGGUAAAGGCCCACCAAGGCGACGAUCCGUAGCUGGUCUGAGAGGAUGACCAGCCACACUGGAACUGAGACACGGCCCAGACUCUUACGGGAGGCAGCAGUGGGGAAUUUUGGACAAGGGGCGCAAGCCUGAUCCAGCCAUACCGCGUGGGUGAAGAAGGCCUUCGGGUUGUAAAGCCCUUUUGUAGGGAAAGCGGUACCCAAAGAAUAAGCACCGGCUAACUUCGUGCCAGCAGCCGCGGUAAUUC
rnacentral:rRNA from 1 species